rnacentral:pre_miRNA from 1 species
UAUGGCUUUUUAUUCCUAUGUGAUUGCUUUCCCGAACUCAUGUAGGGCGAAAAGCCAUGGG